AUUGAACGCUGGCGGCAGGCUUAACACAUGCAAGUCGAGCGGAGAUGAGGUGCUUGCACCUUAUCUUAGCGGCGGACGGGUGAGUAAUGCUUAGGAAUCUGCCUAUUAGUGGGGGACAACAUUCCGAAAGGAAUGCUAAUACCGCAUACGCCCUACGGGGGAAAGCAGGGGAUCUUCGGACCUUGCGCUAAUAGAUGAGCCUAAGUCGGAUUAGCUAGUUGGUGGGGUAAAGGCCUACCAAGGCGACGAUCUGUAGCGGGUCUGAGAGGAUGAUCCGCGACACUGGGACUGAGACACGGCCCAGACUCCUACGGGAGGCAGCAGUGGGGAAUAUUGGACAAUGGGCGCAAGCCUGAUCCAGCCAUGCCGCGUGUGUGAAGAAGGCCUUCGGGUUGUAAAGCACUUUCAGUAGGGAGGAAGCGUUGUGUGUUAAUAGUACACAGCGUUGACGUUACCUACAGAAGAAGCACUGGCUAACUCUGUGCCAGCCGCCGCAGUAACAC
rnacentral:rRNA from 1 species